GAGUUUGAUCAUGGCUCAGGAUGAACGCUGGCGGCGUGCCUAAUACAUGCAAGUCGAGCGAACAGACGAUGAGCUUGCUCCUCUGACGUUAGCGGCGGACGGGUGAGUAACACGUGGAUAACCUACCUAUAAGACUGGGAUAACUUCGGGAAACCGGAGCUAAUACCGGAUAAUAUAUUGAACCGCAUGGUUCAAUAGUGAAAGACGGUUUUGCUGUCACUUAUAGAUGGAUCCGCGCCGCAUUAGCUAGUUGGUAAGGUAACGGCUUACCAAGGCAACGAUGCGUAGCCGACCUGAGAGGGUGAUCGGCCACACUGGAACUGAGACACGGUCCAGACUCCUACGGGAGGCAGCAGUAGGGAAUCUUCCGCAAUGGGCGAAAGCCUGACGGAGCAACGCCGCGUGAGUGAUGAAGGUCUUCGGAUCGUAAAACUCUGUUAUUAGGGAAGAACAAAUGUGUAAGUAACUAUGCACGUCUUGACGGUACCUAAUCAGAAAGCCACGGCUAACUACGUGCCAGCAGCCGCGGUAAUACGUAGGUGGCAAGCGUUAUCCGGAAUUAUUGGGCGUAAAGCGCGCGUAGGCGGUUUUUUAAGUCUGAUGUGAAAGCCCACGGCUCAACCGUGGAGGGUCAUUGGAAACUGGAAAACUUGAGUGCAGAAGAGGAAAGUGGAAUUCCAUGUGUAGCGGUGAAAUGCGCAGAGAUAUGGAGGAACACCAGUGGCGAAGGCGACUUUCUGGUCUGUAACUGACGCUGAUGUGCGAAAGCGUGGGGAUCAAACAGGAUUAGAUACCCUGGUAGUCCACGCCGUAAACGAUGAGUGCUAAGUGUUAGGGGGUUUCCGCCCCUUAGUGCUGCAGCUAACGCAUUAAGCACUCCGCCUGGGGAGUACGACCGCAAGGUUGAAACUCAAAGGAAUUGACGGGGACCCGCACAAGCGGUGGAGCAUGUGGUUUAAUUCGAAGCAACGCGAAGAACCUUACCAAAUCUUGACAUCCUCUGACCCCUCUAGAGAUAGAGUUUUCCCCUUCGGGGGACAGAGUGACAGGUGGUGCAUGGUUGUCGUCAGCUCGUGUCGUGAGAUGUUGGGUUAAGUCCCGCAACGAGCGCAACCCUUAAGCUUAGUUGCCAUCAUUAAGUUGGGCACUCUAAGUUGACUGCCGGUGACAAACCGGAGGAAGGUGGGGAUGACGUCAAAUCAUCAUGCCCCUUAUGAUUUGGGCUACACACGUGCUACAAUGGACAAUACAAAGGGUAGCGAAACCGCGAGGUCAAGCAAAUCCCAUAAAGUUGUUCUCAGUUCGGAUUGUAGUCUGCAACUCGACU
rnacentral:rRNA from 1 species